rnacentral:rRNA from 1 species
UACGUAGGGGCGAGCGUUGUCCGGAUUUAUUGGCGUAAAGAGCUCGUAGGCGGUUUGGUAAGUUGGAUGUGAAAUCUCCAGGCUCAACUUGGAGGGGUCAUUCGAUACUGCCAUGACUAGAGUUCGGUAGGGGAGUGUGGAAGUUCCUGGUGGAGCGGUGAAAUGCGGCAGAUAUCAGGAGGAACGACCCGUAGCGAAGGCGGCACUCUGGGCCGGAACUGACGCUGAGGAGCGAAAGCGUGGGGAGCGAACAGG